rnacentral:pre_miRNA from 1 species
AUACAACUCAUCAGGGGACCUUGUUAAAAUGUAGAUUCUGAUAUAACAGUUCCUGGGCUGUCUAAAAUUUUACAUUUCUAACAAGCUUCCAGGUGAUGCCAUA